CACCAAUGUUGUCAGAGCAAAGUUUAAAGAAAUUAAGAAAUGUUUUUUUCUUCAAAUACUUUUACCUUUCAAACAUUUUGGAAUGUGUUGCCAGGAAAUUUGACCUUCCUACAUUGAAUAUAAAGGUCUUUGAUGACUUAAAGACAGAGGUUGAUGAGGAAAACAAGGAUCUACAGAUCAUCAACUUGGCCAAAUGAUUGAGGGUAUUCUUAAGAACAGCCCUGGAGGAGAGAAGAUCAUAAAUUUAUACUUUCGUACCAAAAGUCUGUCAGAUAGCCGGAGACAUGACUUGGUCAAAAUAUUAAUUGCACAUUUGACAAAUGAACAUGGAACAAGUCCUUCCCGACGUUUGAAGAAAGAAUAUGCAAACCUGAGGAGCAGGCUUGGUUACGAACAUUACUACAAUCCAGAAGAUGGAAGUGGACACCUGGCUUGGAGGAUUAAAACGCUGCAGAAAGAUGCAUCUGACGGGAGGCUGAAAAGGCCACGAUAACACAAACAGGCUGAGACAGUGAUUUGUCAAUCCUGAUACUGGUUCAUCUUUUGCUACCCUCCAGCCAAGGCCGCAAAAGACCAGGAAAAAUCUCAGCUGGACAUACAUGUGAUUGCCUUGUGACAUUUGUCAAGACAGUUACCAGUAUUCAAGGGCACUUGGAUCGCAUCAGAGAGGGUCUCCAGCCAUAUCUGGUGUUUACUGCUCUACCUGCCCAUCAUGUUUGGAGAUCUUGUAUGUACUAAUGAUCAUCACUGGUAUUUGUUAAUUUUAUUGCUUCAGAUUGUCAACAUGAUGUUUUCUACCGUUAUAUCCAAUGGAAUCACCAUUUAUUUGAAGCAUUUGAUUAUGGACCACCUCAGUUUAUUUAAGCAUUUGUUUCCUGAAAAUGAUACUUUGUUGCCAAAGCAUAAUUUUAUGGUGCAUUAGUCCAGUUGUAUGCAGAAAAUUUGACAACUGUUACAGGAAAGCAUAUGUUUUCAAAAUGCAGCUAAAAAUCUUUAAAAACAAAUACUUUGUCAAAGAAAAACCAGUGCCAAAUGGCUUAUAUUUGGCAAACAUUUGUUCCGAAUGAAAUGAAAUUAGGUCCUGGUAGGGUUGUCACAAUACUGGAAUUCGGUACCAAUUUAUACUGAAGUUUUAAAGACGUCCAUUUCCCCGAUAACAUUUGAGCGCUGAUUUGUCAUUGUGUUCAGUUGCUCAACAGAAAUGAGUAUUGGCGGUGAAGCUAAUCAGUUCACCAAACCCACCGCUGUUUACUGAGUGAAACCACAGAUACAGGGAUACUGGAGUGUUUUAAAGUCACGUCGAUCAGCUUGUUUGUCUAUAAGCUGACAUAUGAGCGGUGCACUGAUGAAUUGUGGCUUUAAAACGCUCCAAUGUCCCUGUGUCUGUGGUUACA